GGUGAGAUGGCCGAGCGGUCUAAGGCGCCAGACUAAGGCAGGAAAUCAACUUCCAGCAAUCUGGUCCGAAAGGGCGUGGGUUCGAAUCCCACUCUCAUCA